rnacentral:rRNA from 1 species
GUCCACAGUCAUACCACCUUGAACACGCCCGAUCUCGUCUGAUCUCGGAAGCUAAGCAGGGUGUGGCCUGGUUAGUACUUGGAUGGGAGAAAAUGUGAAGCUAAUAAUUGAAAACC